rnacentral:rRNA from 1 species
GUAGGUGGCAAGCGUUGUCCGGAAUUAUUGGGCGUAAAGCGCGCGCAGGCGGUUCUUUAAGUCUGAUGUGAAAGCCCACGGCUCAACCGUGGAGGGUCAUUGGAAACUGGAGAACUUGAGUACAGAAGAGGAAAGCGGAAUUCCACGUGUAUCGGUGAAAUGCGUAGAGAUGUGGAGGAACACCAGUGGCGAAGGCGGCUUUCUGGUCUGUAACUGACGCUGAGGCGCGAAAGCGUGGGGAGCAAACAGGGAUUAGAUACCCUGGUAGUCCACGCCGUAAACGAUGAGUGCUAAGUGUUAGGGGGUUUCCCGCCCCUUAGUGCUGCAGCUAACGCAUUAAGCACUCCGCCUGGGGAGUACGGCCGCAAGGCUG